GUUGACGUCGAGCGCACGUUGCGCCUCCUUAGCUCAGAUGGCCAGAGCGGCCGCCUUGUAAGCGGCAGGUCGUCGGU
rnacentral:tRNA from 1 species